rnacentral:rRNA from 1 species
AAUAUUGGACAAUGGGCGAAAGCCUGAUCCAGCCAUGCCGCGUGUGUGAAGAAGGUCUUCGGAUUGUAAAGCACUUUAAGUUGGGAGGAAGGGGUUGAAGCUAAUACCUUCAAUCUUUGACGUUACCAACAGAAUAAGCACCGGCUAACUCUGUGCCAGCAGCCGCGGUAAUACAGAGGGUGCAAGCGUUAAUCGGAAUUACUGGGCGUAAAGCGCGCGUAGGUGGUUCGUUAAGUUGGAAGUGAAAGCCCCGGGCUUAACCUGGGAAUUGCUUUCAAAACUGACGAGCUAGAGUACGGUAGAGGGUAGUGGAAUUUCCUGUGUAGCGGUGAAAUGCGUAGAUAUAGGAAGGAACACCAGUGGCGAAGGCGACUUACUGGACCGUAACUGACGCUGAGUCACGAAAGCGUGGGUAGCAAACAGG